AUUUGUUUUUUUGUUUUUUUUUUCAACUUUGUAAAGGGACCCUUUAGAGUUAGCCUGGGACCCCUUAGAAAUCUGGAGAAGGGGUCCCUGGGACCCCAAAUAAUUUAGCCUUUUCAGAAGCCCUGCUAGCAUGUUACCAAAUUUCUAUACUAUGCAACAGAAAAUGGACAUUUGUUUGAUGCUUAAUAAAUAUUUUAAAGGAUUUCUCUUUUUGUAUGGUAUAAGUCAAUGAUGCUCAUAAAUUACAUUAUUUUAACAACAGGGAUGUGUCUGUGUUAAAUUUAAAUGGAUUGAGUAUGAGUAUAUAUAGGCAUUGGAAGGGAUUUUCUGCUCAAAGAAUAUUUUUUGUUAGCAUUAGAUAUUUUCUAUCUGUUCAAAACCCACUGUAUUGGGUGUGCCCUUAUAAUAUUAAAUACACCUAAUAGAAAAUGCAUGAUCAAUAAAAAACAAAAGAAAUUGUAAACAAGUCAUUUAGGUUGAUAUAGGCCAGUGUCCAAUUAAAGUGAAAUGCAGUAUUUUGAUUAAAGAAAUAUGAUUUAGAAAAGACAUUUAAUUUGUUAAAGUUUUUUAUAUAGUCUUUUCCUAUAUGUAUUUGCUAGGUUUUGAUGAUCAAAGAUUUAAAAGAUGUACCACAUUAUCAAGCUAUUCAAAGAUGGAAAGAAGUCUGCAGCCGUCAUGCCCGAUGAAUGGCUAAUCCCAGAGAGCACCAAUAGAUAUUUCUGGCAUAGCUCUAAAGCAGACUCCACCUAGGUCUAAAACACAAAAAAGCCAGGCUCGAACUGGAAUAUUUUCAACUACCAGGAGAUAAUUAAAAGCAUAUGAGCCCUGGCUGUGAAAGCAGUACAUCACCACUUUGUAAUCCCCCCCCACCAGCACCACCAAGACCUGUGGGAUCAGUUAUGCUCAAACUCCAUCUUCUAUUAGACGUGUUUAGUCUGUAGAUUCUCCAGCUCAGCCAGGACCAUUUACUGCUAUUAGCAGGGCCUCAAUCACAUAUUCUGAGUUGACACCAGCAGCAUCUUCAGCAGCUGCUACUGACAGCGCCACCAUCAGACGGUCUAUUCCUGCAUCACCAUCAUCAGCACCAGCAACAUCUGCUAGUGACUUACGAAUGCUUCCAAGUUAUUUUGAGAAAACUUUCAAAAAGAUACAAGAACUCCGGAAAGGUGUAGAGAUCCUGCAGCGGAAGGUGGACCAGCCAAGCAAUGUGGCUGCCAGCCAUACAACUCCAGAUACCUUCCUCUUUCCACUGCAGGAAGUUGAUCAACUUAAACGAUACUUUGGCAGAGCAGGUUACCAGACAAAGAAUGGUUUUGUAUCUGAGCUAUUUGCGUUGUGUUAUGAAACUACCCUUCGUCUGUGCAGCAGUAAAAUCUACCUGUGAGGUGAACAUCACCGACCAACAGUCUUUUGCCCUGCUGACCUGUCGUUUCUCGGAGCCUGUAAAGGACUUUGUUCUGGAGUUGAAACGCUCAGCAGACGGCAAUAAACAAACUCUUGGGUUGUGCAGCA
rnacentral:misc_RNA from 1 species